AUAUGCUGAGAUCUGAUAGCAAGCUGUACUUGUACAGCGAAGUGGUUGAUGCCAUGCUUCCAGGAAAAGUCUCUAAGCUUCAGUUACACAGGAAUCGUACCCGAAACCGACACAGGUGGUCAGGUCGAGUAGACCAAGGCGCUUGAGAGAACUCUGCUGAAGGAACUAGGCAAAAUGGUACCGUAACUUCGGGAGAAGGUACGCUGUUGUUGGUGAUGGAACUCGCUUCCUGAGCUGACGACAGCCGCAGAAACCAGGCCGCUGCAACUGUUUAUUAAAAACAUAGCACUCUGCAAACACGAAAGUGGACGUAUAGGGUGUGAUGCCUGCCCGGUGCUGGAAGGUUAAUUGAUGGGGUUAGCGUAAGCGAAGCUCUUGAUCGAAGCCCCAGUAAACGGCGGCCGUAACUAUAACGGUCCUAAGGUAGCGAAAUUCCUUGUCGGGUAAGUUCCGACCUGCACGAAUGGCAUAAUGAUGGCGGCGCUGUCUCCAGCAGAGGCUCAGUGAAAUCGAAAUCGCUGUGAAGAUGCAGUGUACCCGCGGCUAGACGGAAAGACCCCGUGAACCUUUACUGCAGCUUGACACUGAACUUUGACCUUACUUGUGUAGGAUAGGUGGGAGGCUUUGAAGCUGGAACGCUAGUUCCAGUGGAGCCGUCCUUGAAAUACCACCCUGGUAAUGUUGAGGUUCUAACUCUGUCCCGUGAUCCGGGACGAGGACCUUGUCUGGUGGGUAGUUUGACUGGGGCGGUCUCCUCCUAAAGAGUAACGGAGGAGUACGAAGGUGCGCUCAGCGUGGUCGGAAAUCACGCGUAGAGUAUAAAGGCAAAAGCGUGCUUAACUGCGAGACCCACAAGUCGAGCAGGUACGAAAGUAGGUCUUAGUGAUCCGGUGGUUCUGUAUGGAAGGGCCAUCGCUCAACGGAUAAAAGGUACUCUGGGGAUAACAGGCUGAUACCGCCCAAGAGUUCAUAUCGACGGCGGUGUUUGGCACCUCGAUGUCGGCUCAUCUCAUCCUGGGGCUGAAGCAGGUCCCAAGGGUAUGGCUGUUCGCCAUUUAAAGAGGUACGCGAGCUGGGUUUAGAACGUCGUGAGACAGUUCGGUCCCUAUCUACCGUGGGCGCUGGAAAUUUGAGAGGAUCUGCUCCUAGUACGAGAGGACCAGAGUGGACGAACCUCUGGUGUACCGGUUGUGACGCCAGUCGCAUCGCCGGGUAGUUAUGUUCGGAAGGGAUAACCGCUGAAAGCAUCUAAGCGGGAAGCCUACCUCAAGAUAAGAUUUCCCUAGGACUUUAUGUCCUCUAAAGAGCCGUUCGAGACUAGGACGUUGAUAGGUUGGAU
rnacentral:rRNA from 1 species